rnacentral:misc_RNA from 1 species
CGAAUUGCAUUUGCUUUCUCCAAUAUGGCAGCAACCUUCAAAUUAGUUUUUGGACCCUGAAUACCCUGAAUACUAGGCCUUGUCACAGCUGUAGGUUUCAAGUUAAAGGACUUUGUUCGUAUUUGUUGUAGCAGUGAAUCUCUUUCAUCUAUUUUUGGUCCAAUCUGAGGGCGAACUCGUUCAGUUACCUUUCUCAACUUGCUUUUGUCAUG